rnacentral:piRNA from 1 species
UAAACUGCAGCAUUUUGCUUUUAAGUCCCUG